GGGGUUGCGGUCAUCGGGGAAAUCAGGCCGGGAUCUGGAUGACCAGAUCGUCAGGGUGCUUCAAGCACCUGUUCAGGAACUUCCUCUCCAGCUGGGUUUUCCCUUCUUUGGCAAUCUACAAAAGGACAGAGUCAAAAAACGGUGCAGCUAUAUCUCCGAAGCCAUUCCGACUGAUGUCUAGGUAGUCCAAUGUAGGAUGGAUCUGUUUGAUACGAUUCAGACUCCGAAGAACACCGCAAGUGGAUAAGCGUGUACUUACUACGAGGGCCACGGACACUGCCAUGGUUCCUUUGGGGCCCAGGCCGUAGUGUCUGAUGUCGAUGCUGGGGGACUCCGCCAACUUCCGCAGGAUCUUG